rnacentral:rRNA from 1 species
UACGGGGGGGGUAAGCGUUGUUCGGAAUUACUGGGCGUAAAGGGCUCGUAGGCGGCCAACUAAGUCGGACGUGAAAUCCCUCAGCUUAACUGGGGAACUGCGUCCGAUACUGGAUGGCUUGAGUUCGGGAGAGGGAUGCGGAAUUCCAGGUGUAGCGGUGAAAUGCGUAGAUAUCUGGAGGAACACCGGUGGCGAAGGCGGCAUCCUGGACCGACACUGACACUGAGGAGCGAAAGCGUGGGGAGCGAACAGG